rnacentral:lncRNA from 1 species
CCCCCAUCCUGUUCCUGCCCAGUGCCAUGAUCUUUGUUCUUCCUAAUCUUGGUCUGAUAAAACAAUAGCUGCAAUAUUUAACUUGAACAUCCUAUUUAAUAUCCUGUCCAAAUACAACUGGGAGUUCUUGUUUGACUUGAGAAUUAGAAGCUUUCAUGUGUGGGGGAAUUUUUUUUCUUUUCCAUUCAAAUAUCUCUGCUUUCACCAGAAUUUCUAAGAUUUCCAAAUUGUGGUUCUCUUGUGCUACUGUAUGGAGGCAGAACUCACAGAAGUCCUUAAUAUCUGUGCAUGCAGUUCUACCAAUGACCUCUGAAGGAGGAGGAAAGGAAUCAAAGAAGAGGCAAAGGAAUCAGAGAGGAGUCAGAGCAAAGAUAGUCUGUGACAGAGCUCACUUCCAAAAGAGACUUUUCUGCCUUCCUUCUGCACUGGAAAGAUGUUUCCCAAAUUACUUUCUUCAGCAUUGCUACCCUGUAACAAAGGCAGAUCCAUUUUGCUCCAGUAUCAUGAAGUAGCAGUGGAGUAUAUUCCUUCUGGUCAAAGGAAGAAUACUUCUGGAGAUACUUUUUGCCUUUUCCAGCCUAUCACAAUGCCAUAUAGCGUAUCGACUGGUGAGAGGAUAUUCCUGGAAAUAGCAUCAUGGUCUAGCACCACCACGUUUUACUGAUUCAGGUUAUUGUGUUUUCACCUUCAGUAUCCCUUAACUGAAGAUCUCAUGAAGCUGCUGUAUAGUGCCAGUUUGCCUCAUCAAUACUUUGUUGUUGAUCAUGGGAUCAUUCUACAUUAUACAACCUGGAUCAGCAUCAAUACUGAAAUGAAUUUGUAACUUUUGCUAUAGUUUAUAAUGGACGUUAUGUAUUCUGAAAUUCAGGGAUUUACCUGGAAUCGGAUUAUUCACAAAUAAAAUAGUACUCACUUGUUAGAGUAGUACUGUG